rnacentral:rRNA from 1 species
UACGUAGGGUGCGAGCGUUGUCCGGAAUUACUGGGCGUAAAGAGCUCGUAGGUGGUUUGUCGCGUUGUUCGUGAAAACUCACAACUCAAUUGUGGGCGUGCGGGCGAUACGGGCAGACUGGAGUACUGCAGGGGAGACUGGAAUUCCUGGUGUAGCGGUGGAAUGCGCAGAUAUCAGGAGGAACGCCGGUGGCGAAGGCGGGUCUCUGGGCAGUAACUGACGCUGAGGAGCGAAAGCGUGGGGAGCGAACAGG